rnacentral:rRNA from 1 species
CACAAGCGGUGGAGCAUGUGGUUUAAUUGAUGAUAGCGAGACCGUUACCUGGGCUCAAAUGUAUGUUGACGUAUUCUGAAAGGGAUACUUCUUCGGACAAUAUACAAGGUGCUGCAUGGUUGUCGUCAGCUCGUGCCGUGAGGUGUCGGGUUAAGUCCCAUAACGAGCGCAACCCCUAUCAUUAGUUGCCAUCAGGUCAAGCUGGGGACUCUAAUGAAACUGCCUACGCAAGUAGUGAGGAAGGUGGGGAUGACGUCAAAUCAGCACGGCCCUUACGUCCAGGGCUACACACGUGCUACAAUGGCCGGUACAAAGGGCAGCUACCUGGUGACAGGAUGCUAAUCUCAAAAGCCGGUCUCAGUUCGGAUCGGAGUCUGCAACCCGACUCCGUGGAGCUGGAAUCGCUAGUAAUCGCGCAUCAGCCAUGGCGCGGUGAAUACGUUCCCGGGCCUU